UGCCCCAUGGCUGAGCUGGUUACAGCGUCCGACUGUUAUACAGAUUUUCUGUAAAAGCAAUCGGAAGGUCGUGAGUUCGAGCCUCACUGGGGCAG